AAUGAACGUUGGCGGCAUGGAUUAGGCAUGCAAGUCGAGCGAGAACCCGCAAGGGGGACAGCGGCGAACGGGGUAGGAAUACCUAGGUAACGUACCCUCGGGGCGAGGACAGCCACGGGAAACUGUGGGUAAUACUCGAUAAACUUCCCAAUCAUUAUGGAAGGGGAAGCAAUGGGUGUGAUUCCACCUGAGGAGCGGCUUAGGCAGUAUCAGCUAGUUGGUGAGGUAACGGCUCACCAAGGCUACGACGCUUAGGGGGUGUGAGAGCAUGGCCCCCACCACUGGCACUGAGACACUGGCCAGACACCUACGGGUGGCUGCAGUCGAGAAUCUUCGGCAAUGGACGCAAGUCUGACCGAGCGAUGCCGCGUGCGGGAUGAAGGUCUUCGGAUUGUAAACCGCUGUCAGAGGGGAUGAAGUGUACGGGAGUUCUCUCCUGUAUUUGACAGAGCCUCAGAGGAAGCACGGGCUAAGUUCGUGCCAGCAGCCGCAGUAAUAC
rnacentral:rRNA from 1 species